CACGACCUGAAGUCAGGUCAGCAAACCCGCUGAAUUAAGCAUAUAAGUAAGCGGAGGAAAAGAAACUAAAUAGGAUUCUCUUAGUAAUGGCGAAUGAACUGGGAUGAGCUCACCAUGGGAAUCGGGGUCUUCGACCUUGAAUUGUAGUCUUGAGACGCACCGCCAACAGAGGCGCAGGUGUAAGCCUCUUGGAAGAGAGCAUCGCGGAGGGUGAGAGUCCCGUCUGUCACCUGCAGUCCCCUGUGUACGGCAUGCGUUCUGAGAGUCACGUUCCUCGGGAUUGGAGCGCAAAUUGGGUGGUAAGUUUCACCUUAAGCUAAAUAUUGGUCCGAGACCGAUAGCAAACAAGUACCAUGAGGGAAAGGUGAAAAGGACUUUGAAAAGAGAGUUAAAAGUGCUUGAAAUUGCUGAAAGGGAAGCGAAUGGAACCAGUUCUGCUGGGCGAGAUUGUCGCAUGCCAAGGCCCUGUGCCGGCCGCAUGCGGUGCUUCUUGCCUUGUGUGUCAGCUGCGGUCCGAAGUUGGGGAAAACUCUGGGGACAUGGAUGCCAACCUCCGGGGGGGUGAAUGUGCCUGGCAAGACCCGUCCUUGGACUGUGAGCAGUGCUUCGGCAUGUUUGCGGUGCUGACGAAAUGCUUCUAUUCGACCCGUCUUGAAACACGGACCGAGGAGUCUAACAUGUGUGCGAGCUCACGGGUGUCAAACCUGCUUGCGCAAUGAAAGUGACUGCUGGGAUACUUGCACCAGCAACCGAUCUGUCAACUGAGAGAGAUUUGAGUUUGAGCAUACCUGUUAGGACCCGAAAGAUGGUGAACUAUGCUUGUGUAGGGCAAAGCCAGGGGAAACUCUGGUGGAGGCUCGUAGCGAUACUGACGUGCAAAUCGUUCGUCAAACAUGAGUAUAGGGGCGAAAGACUAAUCGAACCAUCUAGUAGCUGGUUCCCUCCGAAGUUUCCCUCAGGAUAGCUGGAGUCGAACAGUUUUAUCAGGUAAAGCGAAUGAUUAGAGGAAUCGGGGACGUGUUGUCCUCGACCUAUUCUCAAACUUUAAAUGGGUAAGAUCUAAUAGUUGCUUCAUUGAACUGUUGGGGUAAAUGUGGACUCUAAGUGGGCCAUUUUUGGUAAGCAGAACUGGCGAUGAGGGAUGAACCUAACGUUGGGUUAAGGUGCUUAACUGCUCGCUCAUCAGAUACCAUAAAGGGUGUUGGUUCAUUUUAACAGCAGGACGGUGGUCAUGGAAGUCGAAAUCCGCUAAGGAGUGUGUAACAACUCACCUGCCGAAU
rnacentral:rRNA from 1 species